UUUAUGGAAUGUAAUUUUAUGUAUAUAUUAGCAUAAAAUUAUUAUGUCACACUAUAUAAAAUACAUAGUUUGUUGCCAUUUGUAUCAAAUCCUCCAAAGACACUGAAACAUUUCUGAAGAAAAAAAAAAAAAACUUAGAGAAUGAUGAAUCUCAUCUACUUGGUGAUCUGCAUCGCUUUCCUGAUCCUAAUGGUUGAAGUCAGCUGGGCAGUUCCAUUAGAUACGGAAGAAGAAGACCUCGACCGUCCUCGCAAAUUUAUUGAAUAUAUAGUUGAUGCUUUCAAAAAAUGGGACAAACAAUAUUAUUAGUAAAUGCAACAAUGCAACGCUAUAAGCAAUUUUCAUGGUUUAUGAAUGUGUAAUAAAAGUGGAAGUCGAAUAAAUUA